rnacentral:rRNA from 1 species
AGGACGAACGCUGGCGGCGUGCCUAACACAUGCAAGUCGAGCGAGGAGAUUCCUUCGGGGUGAUCCUAGCGGCGGACGGGUGAGUAACACGUGGACAACCUGCCUCAUAGAGAGGAAUAGCCUUCCGAAAGGGAGAUUAAUACCUCAUAACAUUGCAGUUUCGCAUGGAACAGCAAUUAAAGGAGUAAUCCGCUAUGAGAUGGGCCCGCGGCGCAUUAGCUAGUUGGUGAGGUAACGGCUCACCAAGGCGACGAUGCGUAGCCGACCUGAGAGGGUGAUCGGCCACAUUGGGACUGAGACACGGCCCAGACUCCUACGGGAGGCAGCAGUGGGGAAUAUUGCACAAUGGGGGAAACCCUGAUGCAGCAACGCCGCGUGAGUGAUGACGGCCUUCGGGUUGUAAAGCUCUGUCUUCAGGGACGAUAAUGACGGUACCUGAGGAGGAAGCCACGGCUAACUACGUGCCAGCCGCCGC